rnacentral:lncRNA from 1 species
CUUUCAUUUCCCAGGCUGGCGUCUGCCCUGGGAUCUGUAAUAAAGUUCCUGAAUGGUAUGUGAAGUUCUAACAUUAUGAUGUUAGAACUUCUGACAUUCACAGUCCUUAUUUACAUUUACAGACAUGAACCAGAGAAUCCCACAAGCCCUGUGACCUACCCUGGAGAAUUACAGGGAGAAGUUCUUGCUCCGGUGCAGGAGAGGAGUACAGAUGCCAGUCAGAGGCUGUGAGGACACCCACCUCUGCCCCUUGGUUUGGAAGGGAGCUGUGCUGGAGCUCCACGAAGGCCUCACAUUCAGAUUGGCAGCAGGUUCAGAUUGGAUUUCCUCUCUACAGCUGCUCCACGCUCCACUUGCGCCAUGUCCAAACAUCUGGCUUUAAUAGCAGUUCCAAGUGGGAACAUGACAGCAAAUAUGUCCUGCACGCAACAGCAAACUAUGGCCCUAAUUGCCUCUGGCUCAUGUGAUGUAAGAUGGCUAGAAGUUUCCUCUGCCUCUCCUUAUGUAGACAUGCCAUGCAUGAACAUGUAGUGGAGAGGAACCUCGCCCUUCAUUUAUAAUCGUUCCAUGAGCUCAUCUAUGCUCUAAAAGAG